GGGGACGUUACGGAUUCGACAGGCACAGUCGAGCUUGAAUUGCGUUUCGUAGGUUACGUCUACGUAAAAACGUUACAGUUAAAUAUAACUGCUAAAAACGAAAACAACUCUUACGCUUUAGCUGCCUAAAAACAGUUAGCGUAGAUCCUCUCGGCAUCGCCCAUGUGCUCGAGUAAGGGUCCUAACUUUAGUGGGAUACGUUUCAACUUUCCGUCUGUAAGUUGAAAAAGAGAACAUCAGACUAGCGAUACAGAAUGCCUGUCACUCGGCAAGCUGUAAAG
rnacentral:tmRNA from 1 species